GGAAUCGACUGCUCCUUCCCUAAAACGCGGAAAGCGAGCGCGCGAAGAAAACUGCUCGUUUCCUUUCCGUUCUGAUACCGCCCGCGUGCACCCGACCGGCCGCCGCUGGCCAUGGCCGGCCGCCUACACCGCCUCCCCGCCCCUCCUCUGCCCUCUCCCGACCACAUCACGCACUGAAUCGGGCGGGCGAGCCCCCUAUCGCGCCCCCGACGGCCACCUACCGCCCGCUCGCGCCGGCGUCGAUUUGGCCGGGGCGGCAGUCGAGGAGCACCGGAGCGACCUCCUCCACCCCGCCUCAACCCGCCUCAGCCUGCAGUCCACCCCUGACGGCCUCUCGUCGUCGCCUCGGUCAGAAGCCGCGGGGUGGGCGCCGCCCUCUGUCCCGGCGGCGGGGCACUCGCUGCGGCCGGCACCCCCUCCCCUACCUUGCUGUCCUACAUCAACACCUCCAUCCCCUGCUUGCUCCUGACCACUGCCUUCUCUCCUCUUGUGAUUUCUUCUCCUUGAGCUCACAAGGUGUUUGACGAAAAUCCCCGAAGAUGAAUUUGGCUUUGCAAUGGUUGGCAAGACGAGAAGCACCAAAUGUGGAGUUUGAAGGCAAUGAGCACAAAUACACUAUGGGAUAUUAUCUUGCAGAUGGAAUCUACCCAUCAUUUGUGAAGCCAAUCUCCAACCCCAAGGUAGGAAGAGAGCUCAUUUCACAGCAACUCAAGCAGCUUGUAGGAAAGAUGUGGAGAGAGCAUUUGGGGUGUUGCAAUCCCGGUUUGCAAUUGUGCGUGGGCCAGCUAGAUUCUGGGAUCAGAAAACUCUUUGGAGGAUCAUGACAGCAUGCAUCAUAUUGCACAACAUGAUCAUAGAAGAUGAGCGUGAACAAGAUGUGUCAUAUGCCUAUGAGGGCAUGGGAAAACGGGUGAAGCCAAGAUGGGAUGAUCAAGACCGAAUUCGGCGAUUUCUUCAAGUACACCGCCAGAUCCAAGACCGGGCGUCUCAUGACCAACUUCGAGAUGAUUUGGUUGAGGAGUUGUGGAAGUUUCAUGGCCAACAUAGCCACUAGUAUCUUCAUUCGAUUUCAUGUUUAUUGUCAUGAUGCACUUUGGUAGUUGUGAUUUUCAUAUUUGAACAUCAUUUUAAUUUUUCAAAACUAUUGGGUUCGAAUGUUAUGAAUUUGUGUCUCAUGCUAUCAUUCAUGUUUUUUAGUCCA